AAUAAGUGCAGUUUUGUACUAUUCACGUUUAGCGUUUGACCGUUCGUCUUAUUUGAAAAUUUUUUAUGAUUAGUAUUUACUAUUAGAUGAUAAAACAUGAAUAGUACUUUAUGUGUGACUAAAUAUUUUUAAAUUUUUUACAAAUUUUUCAAAUAAGACGGACGGUCAAACGUUGGACAUGGAUAUCCACGACUGCACUUAUU
rfam:Oryza glumipatula chromosome 12, whole genome shotgun sequence.